rnacentral:piRNA from 1 species
UUGGAAGAAGCAAUCUUUAAUGAC